CCCAUUCUUGUCCCGGAGCCUUCCCAUC
rnacentral:piRNA from 1 species